rnacentral:rRNA from 1 species
CCUACGGGUGGCAGCAGUCGAGAAUCAUUCACAAUGGGGGAAACCCUGAUGGUGCGACGCCGCGUGGGGGAAUGAAGGUCUUCGGAUUGUAAACCCCUGUCAUGUGGGAGCAAAUUAAAAAGAUAGUACCACAAGAGGAAGAGACGGCUAACUCUGUGCAAGCACCCGCGGUAAUACAGAGGUCUCAAGCGUUGUUCGGAAUCACUGGGCGUAAGGCGUGCGCAGGCUGUUUCGUAAGUCGUGUGUGAAAGGCGCGGGCUCAACCCGCGGACGGCACAUGAUACUGCGAGACUAGAGUAAUGGAGGGGGAACCGGAAUUCUCGGUGUAGCAGUGAAAUGCGUAGAUAUCGGGAGGAACACUCGUGGCGAAGGCGGGUUCCUGGACAUUAACUGACGGUGAGGCACGAAGGCCAGGGGAGCGAAAGGGAUUAGAUACCCGAGUAGUC